GAUGAAGAACGUAGCGAAAUGCGAUAAGUAAUGUGAAUUGCAGAAUUCAGUGAAUCAUCGAAUCUUUGAACGCACAUUGCGCCCCCUGGUAUUCCGGGGGGCAUGCCUGUUCGAGCGUCAUUUCACCACUCAAGCCUCGCUUGGUAUUGGGCAACGCGGUCCGCCGCGUGCCUCAAAUCGACCGGCUGGGUCUUCUGUCCCCUAAGCGUUGUGGAAACUAUUCGCUAAAGGGUGUUCGGGAGGCUACGCCGUAAAACAACCCCAUUUCUAAGGUUGACCUCGGAUCAGGUAGGGAUACCCGCUGAACUUAACCAUAUCAAUAAGCGGAGGA
rnacentral:misc_RNA from 1 species